UUAAAGGGUGCGUAGGCGGAAAAUUUAGUCAGUGGUGAAAUCCUGCAGAUAAACUGUAGAACUGCCAUUGAAACUGAUUUUCUUGAGUAUAGUUGAGGUGGGCGGAACGAAUAAUGUAGCGGUGAAAUGCUUAGAUAUUAUUCAGAACACCAAUUGCGUAGGCAGCUCACUAAACUAUUACUGACGCUCAGGCACGAAAGCGUGGGUAGCGAACAGGAUUAGAUACCCUGGUAGUCCACGCCGUAAACGAUGAUCACUCGUUGUUGGCAAUACAUCGUCAGCGACUAAGCUAAAGCGUUAAGUGAUCCACCUGGGGAGUACGAUCGCAAGGUUGAAACUCAAAGGAAUUGACGGGGGCCCGCACAAGCGGAGGAACAUGUGGUUUAAUUCGAUGAUACGCGAGGAACCUUACCUGGGUUUAAAUGCAGAACGAUUUUUCCCGAAAGGGAUUUUUCUUCGGACGGUCUGCAAGGUGCUGCAUGGUUGUCGUCAGCUCGUGCCGUGAGGUGUCGGGUUAAGUCCCAUAACGAGCGCAACCCCCAUCGUUAGUUGCCAUCGGGUAAUGCCGGGGACUCUAACGAAACUGCCGGUGUAAACCGUGAGGAAGGUGGGGAUGACGUCAAAUCAGCACGGCCCUUAUGUCCAGGGCUACACGGGUUCCAAUUAUAAGGCCC
rnacentral:rRNA from 1 species